rnacentral:lncRNA from 1 species
CAGAAAUGUAGCUAUAGAGCCAGCUGACACGAUUCCUUAUUCUACAUGAUAAAACUCCUAUCGUUCUACACAACACAUUUCUAUCUGAACAGACCCCAGGUUUCCAUCUCUGACAUUAGGCCUCCUCACCCUUUGUCCCAAAUGGCACCCUUUUCUCUAGUUGACUUUGGCUGCGUUUAGACAGGCAGCCUAAUUCUGAUCUUUUUUUCCACUAAUUGGUCUUUUGACCAAUCACAUCAGAUCUUUUUAAAUCAGAUAUUUUUUCAGCGCUGAUCUGAUUUGUCAAAAGACCAAUUAGUGAGAAAAAAAUAUGUGUAAACACAGCCAUCGUAGGGAAUAUGAUGUCAUUUGUGACGCAGCCCUGGUGUAGGAAAUUCCGCCCACUCCAGUGACAUAUUUCCCUCAACCCAAUCCUGUUCCUCCCCCAGUCGUGCAGCCUGACCUUAAAUACUCACCUGAAGGCAAUCAGUGGUGGAGCCUGAUCUUAAAUACAGUCACCUGAAGGCAAUUGGUGGUGCAGACUGGUCUUAAAUACACUCAUGUGAAGGCAAAUAUUUAUAAAUGCCAACUUUCUAUCUGCAACUAGCCAUGGAAGUUUAGAAGAGAGCUGUGGCUUUCCAAGUUGGGAAUUGAGGAAGUAUCGCCAAGUAAAGCAGUCGCCAGACAGACAUGGGCUGCUGCUUCAGCGGGUCUGAGGGGGACGGAGAGGGGGACAUGAAGCACGGGGGGGACAGCGGCUGUAAGACGUGCUGUCUGAAGACCAGGAACUGCGUGAUGAGUGGAGAGUGUGGACGGGCUCUUCAGAUUGCCAACGUCUGUGCCAUGUGUGGAAUGUGCAUCCGCAUGUUUGUCUAGCUGCGACUCCAUGAGGUCAGACCUGCUCUCAUUCCCAUGGUAGCUGUACAGAGAGCUGUGAACAAUAGGACCGGUAUGCCACUCUCCCAUGGGUGGAUCACCUGGGAUCCAGCCAUGUUACAAAAGACACACACCCUGGACCCGCCCUGUGCCUUAGUGCCAAUAGAAUCAGCACCCUGGACCCGCCCUGUGCCUUAGUGCCAAUAGAAUCAGCCCCCUGGACCCGCCCUGUGCCUUAGUGCCAAUAGAAUCAGCCCCCUGGACCCGCCCUGUGCCUUAGUGCCAAUAGAAUCAGCCCCCUGGACCCACCCUGUGCCUUAGCGCCAAUGGAAUCAGCACCCUGGAGCCAAGCAGGAAGGAAUGUGAAGCGUAUCCUGUAAUUGAUGUCCUUGUGCAAUAGUACUUGUCUUCCUCUUCUGUUGUAAAACAUCUUGGAACAGUGUGCCCUAAUGAACAUGACUCUGUCCUGCUGCUGUUUAUGCAGAGCUCCAGCUGGAGAGGGAACAGGCAGUAGACUAGGCCCAACAGGCAGUAUGUAUGCACAAACACAAACACAUUGUUCAAGCCACCAAGUGGCCUUUUGAGUACUGGAAGAUCACGCAGGGAGUAGGUGGAAACAUAUUCAUACCGGCGAAGAGACUGUACCACCAGGAACACUCGGCUGUGAGGGGAAAUUAUGUUUGUUGUGGAGAGAGGAGGGGGACCGAUACGGGGGCAGAGAGAGAGAGGGAUGAGAGCGGAGCUAGAGACAACAAUCUUUUUCAUGCCAAAUUCUCAAUAAAACGAUGCUUACAGGAAGACACCAGAAUGUACCAGAUAUAAAAUCUGAUAAUCCUUAUUGUAACAAAGUGGUUUGGAUGGAAAAGUGCUCAUAGACUGUGUCCCAGAUGGCACCCUAUUCCCUUCAUAGUGCACUACUGAUAAGAGGAGGAAACUACUAGAUGAACUGAGCAUGCUGAAACAAACCUUUGUGACAAACCAGUCACAGUGGUAGGAUGUCCAUGUCCUCAGAAAAUCAUUCCAUCUCUCUGAGUGUCCCAGAUGGCACUUGAUUCCCUUCAUAGUGCACUACUUCUGACCAGGGGGUGUAGGGUGAAUAGGGUGCUAGGCAGGUUGUGAGGAUCUCUCGUUCUCCUUAAGUAUCUAAAAACCAAGUGUGUUGAUACAGAAUUGUGCCUUUCAGACUGGACUACAGUACCAUGUUGACCUAUUCUUCACUGCUGAGGUGAACCUUCCCUCUUCCAAACUUUCUUUUAUCUGUAGAAAGUAUUUUUCAUCAAUGCUCUUAUGCUCCUUGACAGUCCAAUAUGUAAGAAAAGAGAUGUGCUUUUUUUAUGAUUCAUUUGUUUUUUGUAGGGUGUUUUUAUAUAGUCUUUUGGGGGUGAAUUGUCUUCAUGAUGUCUAUUGGGAUGAUCAUUUAUUGUGCUCAGAAAAUAAUUUCUAUACUGUAGGUGUCGUAGCUAGGGAAGAAACUAUCGGUAUGGUUCAGGCUGUGUCCCCAAUGGCACCCUAUUCCCUAUGCAGUGCACUACUUUAGACUAGAGCCCUAUGCAUCCUGGCCUAAAGUUGUACACUAUAUAGAUAGUCGGAUGCAAUUUGGGACGCAGUACUUUGUUGUAGUGAUGACUACACACCAUUUCUAUGUUCACAUUGUGUAAUGUAUUACUUAAUAAAGAACUACCAAGUGUACCGCCUGGUGACAUACUGUUUUCUGUCCCUCCCCAAA